rnacentral:ncRNA from 10 species
AAGGAGAAGUCGUAACAAGGUUUCCGAAAGGGGCAAAGAGGACUAGUGACUCAUCCAAAGACUUACGAGAUGCUUUAUUAGACGCACUGCGUGUAUGAAGACACUUGGAACUCCGGGUGGUUACGCAUGAGACGGCAGUAGAUGCGACUUUUGUUCAGGUCGCCGGACUCCAACGUUAAAUGCGCCUUGUUGACACACUUAGCGUUGUGGCACGUGUGGGACGCCUCUUCACCAGGGAGAGGGAGACGCUCAGUCGCUGCCACCGCGACAAUGAUGUGGCAAUAGUACUUCGUGCCUUGAUAGCGCAGUUGGACGUAACCGCCAGAGACCUUAGCAGGGGCGUAGUCCGUCACAAUGCAGCCGUUCUCCAUGGAGUGCGAAUGCUUCUCUAACUGCUCCAGUACAGCUUGCUGGACGUGAUGGAGCAAGAACUUCUCGUAAGCGUGGGUGGGCGCGACGUCCAUGGUAAUGAGACCUUCUCUGCAGGACAUACCCUACUGAAGCCUUUGCGGCCCGAAAGGGUGCGCGGUCACGACAUUAAAUAAAGAGCCGUGUUCAACGCAAGUGACGGGGAGAGAGGACUGAAAGUGACGGGGAAAAGUCGCUUUUGUUGGCGACUUUCCCGAGUGGGGGAUGCCAAGGUAUUAUAUCGCGGUAUAUAUAUAUCCUACAAUAGACGACGCAGUCAGUCCGAAAACCCAGUUGCUACCUUUUCAAAUUGCGGGAAUCCCCUAAGAGCCCAUCACUACCGCGGCCGUUGUGGAAAACACUCGGUGCAGCAGGCGAGGUAGUUCCCCGCUGGAUGGUAAUAAGGUGAUGGGAUUGUCUCUAGAGACUUGCAAUGGGCAAUCCGCAGCCAAGUCCCUGUCAAAUGGGAAAGGUUCACAGACUGUAAGGAAAGGGGUGCCGCUUCCUAUUACGCGGCGCUUAAGAGACAGUCGGUCCCCUGCGAAAGCAGAGUCCCGAAUUGGAGGAAAAGGCCCAUUAAAAGUGGGCUUUGGAGAGCCUCGGGAGGCCAGAGAGGAAAGGCUCCGCGCCCUCCUCACUCGGCUGGGUUCAAGUCCUUUGACUUUAUGUUCCGUAGGUGAACCUGCAGAAGGAUCAAGC